rnacentral:rRNA from 1 species
UACGGGGGGGGCAAGCGUUGUUCGGAAUUACUGGGCGUAAAGGGCUCGUAGGCGGCCAACUAAGUCAGACGUGAAAUCCCUAGGCUCAACCUAGGAACUGCGUCUGAUACUGGAUGGCUUGAAUCCGGGAGAGGGAUGCAGAAUUCCAGGUGUAGCGGUGAAAUGCGUAGAUAUCGUAAGGAAGACCAGUGGCGAAGGCGGGUCUCUGGACAGUUCCUGACGCUGAGGCACGAAGGUCAGGGGAGCAAACGGG